UACGGAAGGCAGCAGUGGGGAACAUUGCACAAUGGGCGCAAGCCUGAUGCAGCCAUGCCGCGUGUAUGAAGAAGGCCUUCGGGUUGUAAAGUACUUUCAGUCGUGAGGAAGGUGUUAAGGUUAAUAACCUUAGCAAUUGACGUUAGCGACAGAAGAAGCACCGGCUAACUCCGUGCCAGCAGCCGCGGUAAUACGGAGGGUGCGAGCGUUAAUCGGAAUUACUGGGCGUAAAGGGCACGCAGGCGGUUAAUUAAGUUGGAUGUGAAAUCCCCGGGCUUAACCUGGGAAUGGCAUUCAAGACUGGUUAGCUAGAGUCUUGUAGAGGGGGUAGAAUUCCAUGUGUAGCGGUGAAAUGCGUAGAGAUGUGGAGGAAUACCGGUGGCGAAGGCGACCCCUGGGACAAAGGACUGACGCUCAUGUGCGAAAGCGUGGGGAGCAAAC
rnacentral:rRNA from 1 species